rnacentral:rRNA from 1 species
UACGAAGGGUGCAACCGUUGCUCGGAAUUAUUGGGCGUAAAGCGCACGUAGGCGGCUCGGCAAGUCGGAUGUGAAAUCCCACGGCUCAACCGUGGAACUGCCUUAGAUACUGACGGCCUCGAGGGAGAUAGGGGCGAGCGGAACUGUGAGUGGAGCGGUGAAAUGCGUUGAUAUUCACAGGAACUCCGGUGGCGAAGGCGGCUCGCUGGAUCUUUUCUGACGCUGAGGCGCGAAAGCUAGGGGAGCAAACGGG